rnacentral:rRNA from 1 species
UACGUAGGUGGCAAGCGUUGUCCGGAUUUACUGGGCGUAAAGAGCGCGCAGGCGGUCGUUCAAGUCGAGUGUGAAAGCCCCCGGCUCAACUGGGGAGGGUCACUCGAUACUGAUCGACUCGAAGGCAGAAGAGGGAAGCGGAAUUCCCGGUGUAGUGGUGAAAUGCGUAGAUAUCGGGAGGAACACCAGUGGCGAAGGCGGCUUUCUGGUCUGCUCUUGACGCUGAGGCGCGGAAAGCUAGGGUAGCAAACGGG